rnacentral:lncRNA from 1 species
GAUAGUACGGUGGAGCAGGGAUGCCUGAGCACAAGUAGCGAGUUCCGAGUGACUUUAGGAAAUGCUUCUCCCCCUUCCUGGGCAUGCAAACAAGACUCUGCACCUGCACCGCAGUUUGUUCCGGAGAGAAGCCUCAGCUUCGCCCUGCAGGGACGAGGAACUAGAGCAAGAAGCAGCAUUUGGAAAUUGCUCUGGAAUCAAGUAUCAAAAAAAAUCCCAUGAAGAAGAAUGAAGGCAGCUCCAUCUACCUGUUCAAUGGCAAUCCAGUAGGAACCACAGCUACGUGCAUGCCCCCGAGGAACUUAAAGAGAUUCUCAGAAUGAACACAGACUUCCUUAAAGCAACAUGUCCAGGCUGACUUCAGUCCUUCAUGUAGAAGACUCUGCCUGAUCUGAGAAGAGCAACUGUAUUUGAAUUUGCAAUAUAAAGGCUUCCUAUGUGGUUUCAAUGAAAAUGGACUACUGGAUUAUCCUGGAGCCAAGGCAAUUACAGGAGAGUAGGUA